rnacentral:rRNA from 1 species
GAUGAACGCUGGCGGCGUGCCUAAUACAUGCAAGUCGAGCGAACGGACGAGAAGCUUGCUUCUCUGAUGUUAGCGGCGGACGGGUGAGUAACACGUGGAUAACCUACCUAUAAGACUGGGAUAACUUCGGGAAACCGGAGCUAAUACCGGAUGAUAUUUUGAACCGCAUGGUUCAAAAGUGAAAGACGGUCUUGCUGUCACUUAUAGAUGGAUCCGCGCUGCAUUAGCUAGUUGGUAAGGUAACGGCUUACCAAGGCAACGAUGCAUAGCCGACCUGAGAGGGUGAUCGGCCACACUGGAACUGAGACACGGUCCAGACUCCUACGGGAGGCAGCAGUAGGGAAUCUUACGCAAUGGGCGAAAGCCUAACGGAGCAACGCCGCGUGAGUGAUGAAGGUCUUCGGAUCGUAAAACUCUGUUAUUAGGGAAGAACAUAUGUGUAAGUAACUGUGCACAUCUUGACGGUACCUAAUCAAAAAGCCACGGCUAACUACGUG